CGUAAGGCGCCGAAUGAGUCAUUAAAAAAUUAACAUCAUCCGAUCCCUAGUCGGCAUAGUUCAUGGUUAAGACUACGACGGUAUCUGAUCGUCUUCGAUCCCCUAACUUUCGUUCUUGAUUAAUGAAAACAUCCUUGGCAAAAUGCUUUUCGCAGUAGUUAGUCUUCAAUAAAUCCAAAGAAUUUCACCUCUGACAAUUGAAUACUAAUGCCCCCAACUAUCCCUAUUAAUCAUUACGUCAAUCCUAAGAAACCAACAAAAUAGGAUCGGACGUCCUAUUUCAUUAUUCCAUGCUAAUGUAUUCAA
rnacentral:rRNA from 1 species